GUAGUGAACAGUGGGAGUUUGCAAGAUGAACUUGUUAUAUCUGAUUUUGAACUUUUUGAUCGGCCUGCUCACAAUUGUGAGCGGUAUGACGACUACUCCGCGUGGCGCUGGGCUGCAGCAGGGACAGAAGGCUGCUGGCUGCCAUGGCGGGCCUGGUGGCGGACCUCCCCCACCUCCACCCACUAAUAGCACUGGUUAGAUGACGUCACGACUUACCUGCACCGACUUCAAAAAAGGACACUGAUUGAAAAAUAUAUUAUUUCAUUUUAAAAAUAUCUUUUAUUUUAGAAACCUUUCUGAAAUUGUUAAACAGGUGU